rnacentral:tRNA from 1 species
AUUUAAAUAGUUUAAAUAAAAUUUUAGUUUGUGGGACUAAAGAUAUCUAAUGGAUUUUAAAUA